GUCAUACAGGUAUAUAGUCAAGAUUUGUCAAAAAUCCAUUAACUUGGUAGUGAGGAAACCAGCCAGAUGACAACGUUGUUGUGAAGGAAGCUAUAAAAGACCAAAGUGUGGAUGGUCAUUGAAAAAAAAGUUGAGUGCUGGAACAAGACAAUAGAGAUUGCUAUACAAGUGAUUGAUAUUCUAGAAGGCAAUAAAGCCAUAACCACAAAUUUUCCUUUUUUCUACUGGAUAGAAAUCACUUGCAACUUGGUCAUAAAAUAAGUAUUUUGCUACUUGUCCAUCUUCUAUAAAUCAGCAUCUUACCUUAAGAGUUUGGGCCUUACUAAGUAGUAAAUCGCACACCAAACAAAUACACAGACCCCUUGAGUGUACAGUGAGCUUGUUAGGCAGUGAUCUAAUUUUUUGGCAUAACUUUUAACAGCUUCUACUCAGAAGUAUGCUGAUUAUACCAUGCACUGAAAAUCCAAUGAUAAGUGAAACAAACAGAGUCCUGAGUUUAAUGAUAGUAACAAGCAUAAUGAUUAUCUGGAAAGAGAAACACUCAGGUUAUUGAGAAAUUGUAUUAUAGAGGAAAACCAAUAAAUUUUGGAAAAAGCAAAGAAGGUCUCUAAAAAUUCAGUUUAACCAGGAUGGAAAGGCGAAGUCAUAGCUUAUUGGUUUGGAAGAGUGGUUAAGAGUAUUCCAGUAAGAGGGAACAGCAUGUGUGAAGGCCUUAAUUUGGGGAAAACAUAAUGUGUUUAAAGAAUUAAAAUAAGACCAAUUUGGAUGAAUUGGAAUGUAGUAUGCAGAACUACAAUUGUAGUUCUACACAGAGUUGGAAGCAUAGGCAGAGCCAAGUCACACAAAGCCCUGUGGACUGUGUUAAAAUUUUUGGACCUUAUCCUAAAACUGAUGAGAGGCCUUUGAAUGCUUUUAAGGAUGGGAGCAAUCUCACCAGAUCUGUGCUUUAUAAAUCUACUUGGGCUGUGUGAGGGGGGACACAGGGAGAGAACCCAAGAAGGGCCACUUGGGAAGCAGUUAUGGUAGUCCAGGCAAGAAGUGAUAGGGACCUAAAGUAAGGGAUAGCAGUGAGAAUAAAGUAAAAAAAAAAAAAAAAAAAAAA